AGAAACCACAUCAACCUGUCCCUGUGUUUCUCCCCCAGCGGAAGCGAUUGAGAUACUCAGAUUUGGACUUUGAGAGAGACAAACGCUGGAGCAUAUCCUCCGGAGGAGCAGUGGAGAGAACCUCAGCCAGUGUGA